rnacentral:rRNA from 1 species
CCUACGGGGGGCAGCAGUGGGGAAUAUUGGACAAUGGGGGGAACCCUGAUCCAGCCAUGCCGCGUGUGUGAAGAAGGCCCUCGGGUUGUAAAGCACUUUCAGUGAGGAAGAACGCCUGGUGGUUAAUACCCAUCAGGAAAGACAUCACUCACAGAAGAAGCACCGGCUAACUCCGUGCCAGCAGCCGCGGUAAUACGGAGGGUGCGAGCGUUAAUCGGAAUUACUGGGCGUAAAGCGCGCGUAGGUGGCUUGAUAAGCCGGUUGUGAAAGCCCCGGGCUCAACCUGGGAACGGCAUCCGGAACUGUCAAGCUAGAGGGCAGGAGAGGAAGGUAGAAUUCCCGGUGUAGCGGUGAAAUGCGUAGAGAUCGGGAGGAAUACCAGUGGCGAAGGCGGCCUUCUGGACUGACACUGACACUGAGGUGCGAAAUCGUGGGUAGCAAACAGGAUUAGAUACCCCAGUAGUC